CAGGUUUACACUUGAAGGUGGUUUCGAACUGCAGCAGAACGUCAGACCAGAGCUGCGUCUGCGAGGAGGGAUUUCACUGCGUUUCACGGGACCGCGCCUCGGGAAACUGCGAAAAAUGUCGACCCAGCCAGACUUCGACCACAACCGGCCCGAGCAGAGCGUGGACACCGCCCUGCACCUCUUCCAAGCGCAGCUCAGAGCUCAUCUUAGGAAACACGACAAAUCACGAGACGGCCGAAACCUCAAAGCGUCUGCUGGUCGUCCUUUGCCCUCUACUGGCCGUUGGAGGCAUAGCUUUGAUGCUGCUGUUUUGUUUGGGAUGCCUCGGACGCGAGACACGAUUCAAGCAAACCGUGAAGAAGCUGUGCUCUGGGGAAACUAAAGACACUGCACAUAUAACACGAGAGACGACGAGUGAAACGCAACAGACAGUUCCCAUGGCAACAGCGAACAUGGGUCCAGUGCAUGUCCACAACCCCGGCACAGUUAUCUUCAGUCUUCUCAGCGAGUUCACGGGACAGAUCGGCGAAGCGAAAGAAGAGAAACCAGACGUGACACGGCCUAGUGGAGACGAAGAGUACUGCACCGUGUGUCAGCCCGUCCCCUCUCCCACCCUCCCCCUGUCCGAGGAGGAGCACCCGGUGGAGGAGCACCCGGUGGAGGACAUGCACUCCGCCUUCUUCCCCUCUCAGGAGCAGGGCAAGGACAGCCACGUGUCGAUGGAGGAGCAGCUAUGACGCGAUUAACCAAAACGAGAACACGCA
ensembl:lncRNA